AUUAGGCAUCCCAGCUGCAAUAAUGUGGAUCUUCUAUUACAGACCAGCCAUGGGAAACCUCUGAUAUGGUGUUAUCCUUGACUGAUCUUACAAACUUGGAUAUUCCAAAGUCCACAACUAAAACUUGGGACAGCAGCUGAAGUGAUGCAAUGAGAAAAUGCCAUUUUCUAAGGCUAUUUAGCCUUAGACAGACUGUGUCACCUCUGGUAUCCCUCAAGUGACCAUCCUUGACGCAGGAUCACAAUGAUAGUUACUGACACUGAAUGAGUGCCGUCAUGCAUGUGGCAAUUGUUGCAGAAAAGUCCUUGAGGAUGAUAUUGCAGAGAAAUACAUUUCUUCCCAGGAUACACUGUCAUGGCACUUGCAUAAUUGCUUGGUGAAUCCACUCAGACAGUGAAAUGCUGCCAGACCAGCUGACAUUCUCUAGCACUUGCUGUUUAUAUUGGUUUCUAGGAUUUGGAGGUCACAGAAAACGAGGGGAUUGGGGUCUUGGAGGCAAAGAAAGAGAGUGACAGCAACUCCCAAUGCCCUCUCCACCACCUAAUGCCCAAUCCAUUGAUCAGUCAUUAACCCAUAUGCUCAAUUGU